GGGGAAAAAUUAAUAAUGUAUAAAUAAUAAAAAAAUUUUUAAUAUUAGGGGGGAAGAUAUUGAAGUAUUUUUUUAAGAAAAAAUAUAUUAUUUUAUAGUAAAUUAGUAUUGAGAAAGAAAUUUGAAAUAAAUGAAAAUAAAUUAAUAAAAAAGUAAUUUUAAUUUAGUGUAUCUUGUGUAUCAGAGUUUAUUAAAAAAUAUUUUUUAUAAAAAAAAAUCUCGAAUUUAAAAGAGUUAAUUAAUUAAAAAAGUUAAUGUAGAAAAAUUAUUUUUAAUAAUUAAUUUGAAAUGAAAUGUUAAUCGUUUUUAAAUAUAUCUAGUUAUUUUAGAAAAAAAUUUAAUUUAAAAUUUAAAAAAUUUUAUUAUUAAUUAUAAUUAAUAAUAAAAUAUUUAAAAUUAAAUAUAUUAAGGGAUAAGCUUUAAUAUAGAAAUUUAUAAUAAAAUAAAAAUAAUUAUAAAAAUUUUAAAAUUUAUAUUGUUUAGAAAUUAUAAUUUAUUAUAAAAAAUUUUAUAAAUAAAUAAAAUUUAAAAUAAAAAAAUUUAAUUUUAUAUAAAAUAAUAAUUUUUAAAAAAAGAAAAUUAAAAAUAAUGAUAAAAUUAGUAUAUUAAUAUUAAAAAAAAAUUAAUUUAAUUAUAAUUAAGUUAAAGGAAUUCGGCAAAAAUUUAUAUUCACUUGUUUAUCAAAAACAUGUCUUUUAGAAAAUAAUUUAAAGUCUAAUCUGCCCACUGAUAAUUAUAUUAAAGGGCUGCAGUAUAUUGACUGUACAAAGGUAGCAUAAUCAAUAGUCUUUUAAUUGAAGACUUGUAUGAAAGAUUUGAUGAAAUAUAAACUGUCUCUAAUUUAAUAAUAAAAUUUAAUUUUUUAGUUAAAAAGCUAAAAUAAAUUUAAAAGACGAGAAGACCCUAUAGAGUUUCAUAUUAUUAUUAUUUAAGAUUAUAUUUAUAAUUAAAAAUUAAAAAUAAUAAUAAUAUUUUAUUGGGGUGAUAAAAAAAUUAAUAUAACUUUUUUAAGUUAAAUACAUAAAUAAGUGAAUAAUUGAUCCAUUAAUUAUGAUUAAAAGAAAAAAUUACCUUAGGGAUAACAGCGUAAUAUUUUUUUUUAGUACAAAUAAAAAAAAAAGUUUGCGACCUCGAUGUUGGAUUAAGAUAAAAUUUAAAUGCAAAAGUUUAAAAUUUUGAUCUGUUCGAUCAUUAAAAUCUUACAUGAUCUGAGUUCAAACCGGUGUGAGCCAGGUUGGUUUCUAUCUUUAAAUUAAUAAAAUAUUUUAGUACGAAAGGAUCAAAUAUUUUUAAUAAUUAAAAUUUAUUGAAUAUUAUUAAUAAUUUAAUU
rnacentral:rRNA from 1 species